GACGUAGGGCGCGAGCGUUGUCCGGAUUUAUUGGGCGUAAAGAGCUCGUAGGCGGCUUGUUGCGUCGGUUGUGAAAGCCCGGGGCUUAACCCCGGGUCUGCAGUCGAUACGGGCAGGCUAGAGUGUGGUAGGGGAGAUCGGAAUUCCUGGUGUAGCGGUGAAAUGCGUAGAUAUCGGGAGGAACACCAGUGGCGAAGGCGACUUCCUGGCCUGUUCUUGACGCUGAGGCGCGAAAGCUAGGGUAGCAAACGGGG
rnacentral:rRNA from 1 species